GUGCCAGCAGCCGCGGUAAUACGUAGGUGGCAAGCGUUAUCCGGAAUUAUUGGGCGUAAAGCGCGCGUAGGCGGUUUUUUAAGUCUGAUGUGAAAGCCCACGGCUCAACCGUGGAGGGUCAUUGGAAACUGGAAAACUUGAGUGCAGAAGAGGAAAGUGGAAUUCCAUGUGUAGCGGUGAAAUGCGCAGAGAUAUGGAGGAACACCAGUGGCGAAGGCGACUUUCUGGUCUGUAACUGACGCUGAUGUGCGAAAGCGUGGGGAUCGAGCAGGAUUAGAUACCCUGGUAGUCC
rnacentral:rRNA from 1 species